rnacentral:lncRNA from 1 species
UUUACCUAUUGCUGUUGUUGAUUAUAUAAAAUUUUGUGUUCUCUAUUUUUUACUACUGACUUUGUUACUAAUGCUUAGCAAGCUUUGUUUAUUUCAUUAAGAAAUAAACUUAGCUGGAAAUGUGAAUCAUCUAGGAUUCGAACUUGAGACCUCGGGUACCAACCACCAAGCCCUUCACCACUUGCUCUAGUGACUUAUUUGUUUGUUAUUUCUUAUAUCUUAGUAGUUUGAAUUUUUUUCUAUUUUGUUUUUUUUGUGUGGACUCAAAUAGUUUUAUGGGUGGUACUGAUAGAGAAUU